GCUUUGUCUCCCCCGUGUGAUUUCCCGGAGACCCGGAGGUCCUGGGAAGCUUGAAAGGGACUGGCCGGAUGGGAGCCGCGUCUGGUGUUUGAAGCCAGCGACCUUGUCCCAAGUCUCUCGGGGCAAACGGCCUUCCAGCAGUUCAGCACCACCAUUCUCACCGGGGUUUGGCUCAGAAUGCAAACGACAGUUUCCAAAUUCCCUAAUUCCGGAAACGCUGGGAGGGACAAAGGUUUCAGGCCUCGACUCCUGCGCCUUCCCAGGAGGCUGCAGGCGCUGAUGAUCCAGGCUUGGGCUUCCCACCCAGGCCCCGGCGGCCGGGGUGUGUCAAGUCAGCAGGUGGAGCUGGGAGAAUAAAAACUCUGAGCCGGUGCCUGGGACCUUGGAGAGGAAGCUAUCUGUGCCGAAAUCCUGAUUGAAUGAAAAUUGUUCAUUAUGCAAAGCGUCGGGUUCAGUACGCAGAGGCAGCCCCCAGGCACGAACCCCAAGUAGCUGCUUUUUCUCUCCCCAGAUUAAAACAUAUGAACUGCUUUGAUGUAACCUUAUAACAAAGCCUAAUAGAAAUUUUAUUUCUUUGAA